UGGAUCGAUGAUGACCACUGGUGGCGUAUGAGUCGGAUACGAUGAAUACGUGUCUGGAACUCUGAGGUCCAA
ensembl:snoRNA